GCUAGUGUGGCUCAGUGGUUGAGCAUCGACCCAUGGACCAAGAGGUCCCAGGUUCGAUUCCUGGCCAAGGCA
rnacentral:tRNA from 1 species